rnacentral:ncRNA from 1 species
AAUUGUUUAAUUAUGGCAAUAGAAAGUUAUUCUUUAUUAUCUGCAUAAAAUUAUAAUAUGAUUCGAUGUGACAAUGUUAAGUUUCAUUAAUUAGCAGUUAAUUUUUUGUUAAAAUUUGCGUUUUAGAAGAAUAAGGAAUAAAAAGGGGAUAGGACACAGUGCCAGCAUCUGCGGUUAAUCUGUUUUCUUUGCUUUCUACUAGAAAUAAGUAAAUUAUUAAUAGGUAAAAUUAGGUUAAAUUUGUUUAUUAUGAUAUUAUGUGAUUUAUUUUUGGAGAAGUAGAUACAAUGACAGGGAUUAGAUACCCCAUUAAUACUAUUAGUAAUAUAUCUUAGUUUUAUAACUAAAAUAAUUUGGCAGUGAGUGAUUCUUAUUAGGGGAAGGUGUGGUGUAAAGGACGAUCCGCCUAAUAAUUUACUUUUAUUAUAUUGGUGUAUAUCUGGUUUAAUAUUAUUGUUGAGUGACAGAAGUUGUGUAGUAUAAUUUAAGCCAAGUCUAUGUGCUGUUUAUAAAAGUAUUCAUGCGUUACAUUUAUAAAUAUUUAAUUGUAAUAUUGAAAAAUUUAGGACUUAAAAGUAAUAUUUAAUAAAUUAGUGAAUGUGAAAUAAGUUUAGCUCAUGUACACACCGCCCGUCACCCUCGAUUAUUAUUGAGGUAAGUCGUAACAAGGUAACUUUAAAUGAAUUUGAAGUUAGUUACUAGAAGUAAUGUAGAGUCUACUAGUUGAA